rnacentral:tRNA from 1 species
GGGGUUGUGGCUCAGUGGUAGAGUGCUUGCCUUGCACACAAGAGACCCUGUGUUCGAUACUCAGCACCA